CCUACGGGAUGCAGCAGUGAGGAAUAUUGGUCAAUGGACGGAAGCCUGAACCAGCCAUGCCGCGUGCAGGAAGACGGCUCUAUGAGUUGUAAACUGCUUUUGUACAAGGGUAAACCUGAAUACGUGUAUUCAGCUGAAUGUACUUUACGAAUAAGGCUCGGCUAACUCCGUGCCAGCAGCCGCGGUAAUACGGAGGAUCCAAGCGUUAUCCGGAUUUAUUGGGUUUAAAGGGUGCGUAGGCGGAUUGAUAAGUUAGAGGUGAAAUGUCCGGGCUUAACUCGGGAACUGCAUUUAAUACUGUUGAUCUAGAGAAUAGAUGAGGUAGGCGGAAUGUAUGGUGUAGCGGUGAAAUGCUUAGAGAUCAUACAGAACACCGAUUGCGAAGGCAGCUUACCAAUCUAUAUCUGACGUUGAGGCACGAAAGCGUGGGGAGCAAACAGGAUUAGAUACCCUGGUAGUC
rnacentral:rRNA from 1 species